AACACAUGCAAGUCGAGGGGCAGCAUGGUCUUAGCUUGCUAAGACUGAUGGCGACCGGCGCACGGGUGAGUAACACGUAUCCAACCUGCCGUCUACUCUUGGACAGCCUUCUGAAAGGAAGAUUAAUACAAGAUGGCAUCAUGAGUCCGCAUGUUCACAUGAUUAAAGGUAUUCCGGUAGACGAUGGGGAUGCGUUCCAUUAGAUAGUAGGCGGGGUAACGGCCCACCUAGUCUUCGAUGGAUAGGGGUUCUGAGAGGAAGGUCCCCCACAUUGGAACUGAGACACGGUCCAAACUCCUACGGGAGGCAGCAGUGAGGAAUAUUGGUCAAUGGGCGAGAGCCUGAACCAGCCAAGUAGCGUGAAGGAUGACUGCCCUAUGGGUUGUAAACUUCUUUUAUAAAGGAAUAAAGUCGGGUAUGGAUACCCGUUUGCAUGUACUUUAUGAAUAAGGAUCGGCUAACUCCGUGCCAGCAGCCGCGGUAAUACGGAGGAUCCGAGCGUUAUCCGGAUUUAUUGGGUUUAAAGGGAGCGUAGAUGGAUGUUUAAGUCAGUUGUGAAAGUUUGCGGCUCAACCGUAAAAUUGCAGUUGAUACUGGAUAUCUUGAGUGCAGUUGAGGCAGGCGGAAUUCGUGGUGUAGCGGUGAAAUGCUUAGAUAUCACGAAGAACUCCGAUUGCGAAGGCAGCCUGCUAAGCUGCAACUGACAUUGAG
rnacentral:rRNA from 1 species